GCAUUGUGCAGGGCUAUCA
rnacentral:miRNA from 1 species